rnacentral:lncRNA from 1 species
GAACAUAUCUGGAAUGCAAGAUAUAUUAAGCAACUACUCGGUGUGCAACUACCACUGUAAAUCUCAAUCUCUUGCCUCCACUCGGUAUAGCCUGAGCCGAUCAAGAUGACAUAUAGCUAAGGUUCGGAUAACAUUGGAUAUGACUGAGGUAAACUAUCAUCUCGUAUCAUAAUAUAUCAUGAUUAUUGCUCUCUUUGAAUUGGUAGUAUAUAAAAAUUUUAUUAAAUAAAGAAAAAUGAUUGGUUAUAUAAUAUAGCAUGAG